rnacentral:sRNA from 1 species
AUAUUAUAUCAUUUGAUGCGUUUUCCUCUGACGAAGAAUUAAAAUGUACAUGUUUGAUUCACUUCAAUACUCCUGUGAUUUUAUCCAAAUAUGAACCUCCAUCCAGGAGCGGAUCUAGGUGUAUGGAAGAUGGGACACGUGCCCUACACUAAAUUAUAAAUAUUAGCUUGUAAAUAUAUGGAGUUUAAAUGAUUCAGCACAAAUGGUUAAGUGUUUUCAAUAUUCGUCUUUCUUUACACAGGUCCGAAACUAGUUGAAGUAACUUUUUUCUU